AGCGAACGUUUGCGGCGGGCUUAACACAUGCAAGUCGAACGGGCUGUUCCUUCGGGGGCAGUCAGUGGCGCACGGGUGCGUAACACGUAGGUAAUCAACCCUCUGGUUGGGGAUGACACUUCGAAAGGAGUGCUAAUACCCGGUAUGGCGCAGCGGUCUUCGGAUCGCGGCGAGAAAGACCCGCAAGGGUUGCCAGAGGACGAGCCUGCGGCCCAUCAGCUAGUUGGCGAGGUAACGGCUCACCAAGGCGAAGACGGGUAGCUGGUCUGAGAGGAUGAUCAGCCACACUGGAACUGAGACACGGUCCAGACUCCUACGGGAGGCAGCAGUGGGGAAUAUUGCGCAAUGGGCGAAAGCCUGACGCAGCCACGCCGCGUGAGCGAUGAAGGCC
rnacentral:rRNA from 1 species